rnacentral:lncRNA from 10 species
CCUGGGCACCUGGUGGGAUUGCAUUCACAGUUCCUCAAAGUGACCAAGUGAUUUGCAUUGAGCAUUGAAAGAUAUCCCCCUGGGGCACCGGCCUAGAACAGAGCAACAAAUAUUUACUAAUUCCAUUAACAGAAGAGAGUUGGAAUUUUUUUUUCCCAAGCGAAUAUCCGAGGCCCCAAGUUCAUGGUGAGCCCUCUCCCCCGCAUGGCCCCCUCUCCCCCCACCUCCUCCCUACACGCCCAGGACUUAUAUAUAGUUCACUCAGUGCCAUUUCCCCAAUUUUUUUCUGAAGUUCAAGACAAGUUGAAGGGUCAAAAAGGCAAAGGGUGUUUUAGAAGUUUAGCAGACAGCUUUUGGUACAAGGAAAAGAGAGGGAGAGCUGGAGAGAGGGAAACAGGGUGAAGAGGCAGGAAUCUGGCUCGCAUUAAGCUGGGAGGUUCCAACCAUUGAUUCGCUCUGGAAUUAUGGCUUAAAAAAAUUGCAAGACAUGGUUUAUUCAUGAGGGUUCUUUUUUUUUCUUAAGUAGCCACCCAAAGUUACACUUUGGUUCACCAAGACGAAGACUCAUCCUUCCUCUCUCUAUGGAUCUUUCAGAUGAAGAAAUUAAGGCUCAGGAGGGAGGAAAAAAAUAAAAGAAAGAAUUGUCCAAGGUCACCAAGGCAUCUGGACUCCCAUAUGUUGAGCUACUUCUGCUUGUGGGGCAGCUGCAAUACAUGAAUUCUUCACUACCAACUUAAUAUAAGCUAAGGAAUGCAAAAGAUUGCCAGCAAAUGACCAGAAGCUAGAGGGGAGGCAUGGAACAGAUCUUCUCUCACAGCCUCAGAAGGAACUAGCCCUACUGACAGCUCGAUCUCAGACUUCUAGACUCCAGACUGGUGAGACAACAUAUUUCUGUUGUUUAAGCCACCCAGUUUGUGGCAAUUUGUUACGGCAGACCAGCAAAUGAAUACAGGAUCUCUACAAAAUACACUCACCUUUCAGGCAGGCCAAGAGGAUUGUUUACUGUCAGAGCUCCAAGCCCGGAACUUACUCACACACCAAAAAAGGGGCAUGGAAGUGGGAGCAAGGAUGGAGUCACGAUCCCAAAGUCCCGGAGCAUCUUCUCCACACAUUCAUGAGAGUCAGGCACAGGUUUUUAUCUCAUGCCCACAUUCAGGGGGCCAUCAUCCUGAGCCUGCACCCCCAGAGAAAGUGAGGCCCAGGAAUUUGUGAGUUUGUUGUUGCUUGUGUUACCGAAUAUCCAUGAACUGCAAAAUGGCACCAUGACCUAAUGAAGUAUUAACCCUGCCUCAUCACUGCACAUCAACCAUGAAAGCAGGCUCUUCUUGGCCAGGGCUGUUUCAAGGAGAUUUAGGAAUAUAUUUGAGGCUUCUGAAGGAUAGUUGGAAAUUAGGGGGUCUGCAAAUGGACCUCCAAGAACUCAGGACAGGGGACAUGGACCAGAAGCACCCCCUGAUCUGCCUGGGGUCUCCAACAUACUGUUCUUCCCUCCCACCCCUUUCAAGGGCUAUCCAACGUUGGAAAGAAUAAAAACUCAGAGUCAAUAGAUCUGGGUUUACAUCACAGCUUUACUCAUGAGACAUGAGACAAAUGACUUAGUCCUUCUGAGCCUCAGUUUUCUCCUCUGUAAAAUGGGAAUAAUCAUUGUAGAUGCUUCACAGAGUUGUGAAAACAUAAUGGGUAUCUAUCUAUCUAUCUAUCUAUCUAUCUAUCUAUCUAUCUGGAAUGAAAAUGCACCUGGCUCAUAGUAGACACUUGUUAACUCGAAGCUGCUUUAUUUUUGUUGUUGAUUUCUUAUUGUGAUUUUUUGUGACA